UGGGGUAUCGCCAAGCGGUAAGGCACCGGUUUUUGAUACCGGCAUUCCCUGGUUCGGAAUCCGGUGCACCCCAGCCA
rnacentral:tRNA from 1 species